GACGAACGCUGGCGGCGUGCUUAACACAUGCAAGUCGAACGGAAAGGCCCUGCUUUUGUGGGGUGCUCGAGUGGCGAACGGGUGAGUAACACGUGAGUAACCUGCCCUUGACUUUGGGAUAACUUCAGGAAACUGGGGCUAAUACCGGAUAGGAGCUCCUGCUGCAUGGGGGGGGUUGGAAAGUUUCGGCGGUUGGGGAUGGACUCGCGGCUUAUCAGCCUGUUGGUGGGGUAGUGGCUUACCAGGGCUUUGACGGGUAGCCGGCCUGAGAGGGUGACCGGCCACAUUGGGACUGAGAUACGGACCAGACUGCUACGGGAGGCAGCAGUGGGGAAUAUUGCACAAUGGGCGGAAGCCUGAUGCAGCAACGCCGCGUGCGGGAUGACGGCCUUCGGGUUGUAAACAGCUUUCGCCUGUGACGAAGCGUGAGUGACGGUAAUGGGUAAAGAAGCACCGGCUAACUACGUG
rnacentral:rRNA from 1 species